rnacentral:rRNA from 1 species
UUGGAGGGCAAGUCUGGUGCCAGCAGCCGCGGUAAUUCCAGCUCCAAUAGCGUAUAUUAAAGUUGUUGCAGUUAAAAAGCUCGUAGUUGAAUUUCGGAGUUUGUCGGUUGGUCGGGCUUCACUGUCCGCACUGGCCUGAUGGAUUCCUACCUUCUGAAUAACCAGCAUGCUAUUAAGUUAGUGCGUUGGGGAAGCAGAGCUAUUACCUUGAAAAAAUUAGAGUGCUUAAAGCAGGCUUACGCUUGAAUAGAUUAGCAUGGAAUAAUAAAAUAGGACGGCAUGGUUCUAUUUUGUUGGUUUCUAGGAUCACCGUAAUGAUUAAUAGGGAUAGUUGGGGGCAUUAGUAUUCAAUUGUCAGAGGUGAAAUUCUUGGAUUUAUUGAAGACUAACUACUGCGAAAGCAUUUGCCAAGGAUGUUUUCAUUAAUCAAGAACGAAAGUUAGGGGAUCGAAGACGAUCAGAUACCGUCGUAGUCUUAACCAUAAACUAUGCCGACUAGGAAUCAGACGAUGUUAAUUUUUUAAUGACUCGUUCGGCGCCUUACGGGAAAC